UACGUAGGGGGCAAGCGUUAUCCGGAUUUACUGGGUGUAAAGGGAGCGUAGACGGCUCACCAAGUCUGAUGUGAAAGGCUGGGGCUCAACCCCGGGACUGCAUUGGAAACUGGCGGGCUGGAGUGCCGGAGGGGUAAGCGGAAUUCCUGGUGUAGCGGUGAAAUGCGUAGAUAUCAGGAGGAACACCGGUGGCGAAGGCGGCUUACUGGACGUGCACUGACGUUAAGGCUCGAAAGCGUGGGGAG
rnacentral:rRNA from 1 species